AUUGAACGCUGGCGGCAGGCCUAACACAUGCAAGUCGAACGAGUGGCGGACGGGUGAGUAAUGUCUGGGAAACUGCCUGAUGGAGGGGGAUAACUACUGGAAACGGUAGCUAAUACCGCAUACCAUCAGAUGUGCCCAGAUGGGAUUAGCUAGGUGGUGGGGUAACGGCUCACCAAGGCGACGAUCCCUAGCUGGUCUGAGAGGAUGACCAGCCACACUGGAAAUGAGACACGGUCCAGACUCCUACGGGAGGCAGCAGUGGGGAAUAUUGCACAAUGGACGAAAGCCUGAUGCAGCCAUGCCGCGUGUAUGAAGAAGGCAUUCGGGUUGUAAAUGACGGUCAGCGGGGAGGCGUUACCCGCAGAAGAAGCAACGGCUAACUCCGUGCCAGCCGCCGCGGUAAUAC
rnacentral:rRNA from 1 species